rnacentral:rRNA from 1 species
AUGAACGCUAGCGACAGGCUUAACACAUGCAAGUCGAGGGGCAGCACAGGUAGCAAUACCGGGUGGCGACCGGCGCACGGGUGAGUAACGCGUAUGCAACUUACCUAUCAGAGGGGGAUAACCCGGCGAAAGUCGGACUAAUACCGCAUGAAGCAGGGGCCCCGCAUGGGGAUGUUUGCUAAAGAUUCAUCGCUGAUAGAUAGGCAUGCGUUCCAUUAGGCAGUUGGCGGGGUAACGGCCCACCAAGCCGACGAUGGAUAGGGGUUCUGAGAGGAAGGUCCCCCACAUUGGUACUGAGACACGGACCAAACUCCUACGGGAGGCAGCAGUGAGGAAUAUUGGUCAAUGGCCGAGAGGCUGAACCAGCCAAGUCGCGUGAGGGAUGAAGGUUCUAUGGAUCGUAAACCUCUUUUAUAAGGGAAUAAAGUGCGGGACGUGUCCCGUUUUGUAUGUACCUUAUGAAUAAGGAUCGGCUAACUCCGUGCCAGCAGCCGCGGUAAUACGGAGGAUCCGAGCGUUAUCCGGAUUUAUUGGGUUUAAAGGGUGCGUAGGCGGCCUUUUAAGUCAGCGGUGAAAGUCUGUGGCUCAACCAUAGAAUUGCCGUUGAAACUGGGGGGCUUGAGUAUGUUUGAGGCAGGCGGAAUGCGUGGUGUAGCGGUGAAAUGCAUAGAUAUCACGCAGAACCCCGAUUGCGAAGGCAGCCUGCCAAGCCAUGACUGACGCUGAUGCACGAAAGCGUGGGGAUCAAACAGGAUUAGAUACCCUGGUAGUCCACGCAGUAAACGAUGAUCACUAGCUGUUUGCGAUACACUGUAAGCGGCACAGCGAAAGCGUUAAGUGAUCCACCUGGGGAGUACGCCGGCAACGGUGAAACUCAAAGGAAUUGACGGGGGCCCGCACAAGCGGAGGAACAUGUGGUUUAAUUCGAUGAUACGCGAGGAACCUUACCCGGGUUUGAACGCAUUCGGACCGAGGUGGAAACACCUUUUCUAGCAAUAGCCGUUUGCGAGGUGCUGCAUGGUUGUCGUCAGCUCGUGCCGUGAGGUGUCGGCUUAAGUGCCAUAACGAGCGCAACCCUUGCCACUAGUUACUAACAGGUAAAGCUGAGGACUCUGGUGGGACUGCCAGCGUAAGCUGCGAGGAAGGCGGGGAUGACGUCAAAUCAGCACGGCCCUUACAUCCGGGGCGACACACGUGUUACAAUGGCGUGGACAAAGGGAAGCCACCUGGCGACAGGGAGCGAAUCCCCAAACCACGUCUCAGUUCGGAUCGGAGUCUGCAACCCGACUCCGUGAAGCUGGAUCCGCUAGUAAUCGCGCAUCAGCCAUGGCGCGGUGAAUACGUUCCCGGGCCUUGUACACACCGCCCGUCAAGCCAUGGGAGCCGGGGGUACCUGAAGUCCGUAACCGCGAGGAUCGGCCUAGGGUAAAACUGGUGACUGGGGCU